rnacentral:rRNA from 1 species
UACGAAGGGUGCAAGCGUUAUUCGGAAUUAUUGGGCGUAAAGGGUGCGUAGACGGCGCAUUAAGUCUGUUGUUAAAUCUUCCGGCCUAACCGGAAAUCUGCAGUAGAUACUGAUGUUGCUAGAGGGUGGAAGAGAGAAGUGGAAUUCUCGGAGUAGCGGUAAAAUGCGUAGAUCUCGAGGGGAACACCAAUGGCGAAGGCAGCUUCUUGGUCCACAUCUGACGUUGAGGCACGAAAGCGUGGGGAGCAAACAGG